UCCUGCUCUCAGAAAUAAUGUUUUUCUUUCGUCCGUCUGUUUCAGCCGACCAGUGAAGAAGAUCUCUGCCCGAUCUGCUACGCUCACUCCAUCUCAGCCAUCUUCAAACCCUGCUCACACAAGUCCUGCAAAGCCUGCAUCAACCAGCAUCUGAUGAACAACAAGGACUGCUUCUUCUGCAAGGCCACAAUCACCGGGGUGGAGGACUACAGCAAGCCUGCAGCCUGCUAACACAAACAGACAGACACACACACACACACACACACACACACACUAAAGCGUUAUAUAAAAAUAGAGGCGUAGACGGGAAUACGGCAGCGUCCUUCGGUGUCAGAACUAGCUGUCAUAUUAGCACAUCUCACCUCUACCUGUCAGUGCAGGUACACACACACACACACACACACACAUACACACAGGAUGGCAGGUGUAUAGAGAAACUGGAACACAGAUACACAGACAGGAACAGUGAUAUCUCUUCCUAAAUAUGGAUUUCUGAACUUUACAGACCCGGUCACUCACUGACAUUCAUUUCAGCAAGGAUCAUAUUGUGUUAAACCGUAAUUCUUAUAGAUGUAAUACUGUACAUUGUAUUAUCUAUAUUUUGAGUCAUGGAGUCUUUAGUGUGAGUUUUCUUGGGUAAACAUUACAUGAGUGAAAUGUCCAUCAUUCAGUUGUUUAUCAUCCAAAAAUGUUGUCAACUUAGGGUUCACAAUUCCUGUCACUAGUGCGUGCCUGUUCGGAACGGGCCGAUGGCACACAGCUUUAUCUAACUGUAAGGCUUAGCCUACUGGAGACGCCGCUCUUAAACAGCACGCACAACGGGCGGAGAAAUGUGCACAGAACAGGUGGAGAAAUGUGCACAGAACAGGUGGAGAAAUGUGCACAGAACGGGCACACAGAGAUUCCUCGAUUUAUAGUUAAUGACCUGUUAAACAAACUAAUUAAUUUGACAACUCUUUGUGUUCUUGCUUAGAUUGAAUAUGUUUGACUUUACUCCAAGCAAUUCAUGAGCACAUAUAAUGACUUAUAACCAGAACUAGAAUUUCUUUUAUUUUUACGUUUUUCAGCGGUGAUCCAGGAUGAAAAUCUGCAGAAUUUAGCGGACUAUGAGAGUUAUUAUAAUAGAGAAUUAUAAUAAAGUCUGAUCCUUGCAAAAAUGAAUGUCAGUAUUAGGUAGUAUUAUGAUACCUGGUGUGUUAUGAUUGUUAUAAAACAUUAUGAAUGAGAAGGAGUGCUUAUAACUAUAGUUACACAGGGUUAUAAACACAUUAUAAGUAUGUUUAUUACCCUUUAUAGACACUACCAUCCUGAUUUGAAAAUAAAUCAGACAAACAAUCAGAGACUCCAUACCACCACCAAACGUUGUAGUUUUGUGUCUCUGUGAGUCAAGAGUCGCGCUGCUUUGGGGGCCUUGAACAGGUUUGAUCUCAGGGGCCCCCCCGGUGUCUCAUAAUCCAUCCAGGACCGACCUGCAGGUCUGCAUGCAUGGAUCCUUCCACACCAGCGUACUGUAAACAUGAGGAAACACACAGCGAUGCAGGGAACAGCUUCCAGCCUUCUGAACAGACUUUAAAGGCUUUAACUCCCACUGUACUGUCUCACACUUUAAUAACAAGUCACUAGAAAAGAAAUAGGACUCUGGACUGAAGAAGUGUGUUUCUGUUAAACGGCUGCUGGCUGUAGUUUUUAUAAUAUUAAAGGGGUUUUUGUUGUUUUUUUGUA